CAUCUCUCAGGGUCGCACCUGGAGAGUUUCCAGUCCUCUACCAGUCUCGACUAGGGGAGGGAGAGUCAGAGCAGAGGCCUACGUGUUCCAUUCCCAGCUUGGCCAGUGGCUAGCGAGUGGAAGGCCAUCUGCUACGAGU